rnacentral:rRNA from 1 species
AGAACGAACGCUGGCGGCGUGCUUAACACAUGCAAGUCGAGUGCGCAGUUGUAGCAAUACAACUGGCGCACGGCGCACGGGUGCGUAACACGUGGGCAAUCUGCCCUUCGAUGGGGAAUAACUCCGGGAAACCGAAGCUAAUUCCGCAUAACAUUCCUUGGACUUCGGUUCGAGGAUUCAAAGCCGUAAGGCGUCGAAGGAGGAGCCCGCGCACGAUUAGCUAGUUGGUAGGUAACGGCCUACCAAGGCUUUGAUCGUUA